ACACAAGAUAGGGCAGCGUGGAAGGCUUGCGUAGAUGAGGCGAUGAACUUUCGAGUUCCAAAUGCCAUGUAAAAAAAAAAAAAUGUACUACUCUAUCACGUCACUUAAAUAAAAACCUUUGGUCAUAGAUGUUAAAAUACAUUAAUAAUAUAAAUAAAUUAAUAGAAUCAGUGUUCUGAUCGACAGUACACUCAAUCUCGCGUACGUAUAUGCGCCUCCGCAUCACAGCCUUAAAAGAUUUAAGCGACGGGAGAUCUCUCACGUCGCGCGGGAGAGAAUUCCAGAGGCGCGCGCCCUGGACUUUAAAGGAAAAUAGCCCCGCAUCGGUAUAGCCCCGCAUCGGUACGCGCAGUUCUUGCGGGUCCCUAGCUGAGGUUCUAGACUGGUUCCUAUCAAAAAGGGCAGCAAGAUACGGCGGCUGUUCCAUUACAAUUGCUUUAUAAAGCAUCACCGCCGCGAAUAACACCCUUCUUGUCUUCACUGGAACCCAGCCUAUCUUCCUCCUAUAGGGGGAGAUGUGCUCGUCCCUUCUAGCACCACAUAUGUAUCUCACACAUGAGUUCUGCAAUCGUUGAAGUCGUGUGCUUUGUUGACCUGAUACGUCAAGGUAGACAAGAGAGCAGUAAUCCAAGUGCGGGGUGGCAAGAGUGCACGCCAGCUGCUUACGCAGUUCCUCGGUGGUGCAGGAUCUAAAGAAUCUAAGUCCAUAAAGGACUCUAUUAACCUUUCAGCUAAUCGCAUCCACCUGCGGUUUCCAUGUCAUCUUCGAAUCCAUUACAACACCAAGGUUGGUUACAGUGUCUGCAAAGGGUACGAAGACGCCAUCCGCGAUCUCAAUGCCAGGCAGCUUUAGACUUUGCACCUUGUUAAUAUUACUGUUCGACCCAAAAAUAAUAGCUUUAGUCUUCCCGACAUUGAGGCGAAGCGCGUUCUCGGACGCCCAUACCGCCACUGCACGCGCCACAGCCGACAGACGGUCCACACCCCUGCUCAAGUCGUCCCUCGCCACCUGCGUAUAGGUUUGAAGUGCCGCAACCACCGAAUGCUACUUUGCAACAAUUGGCGCCGCGACGAUCGCCGACAGCUGACCCGCCUCGACGAUCCCCGGUGGCUGACCCGCCGCGUCGAUCGCCGACAGCUGUCCCGCCUCGUCGAUCUCCGGCGACUGACCUGCCUCAACGAUCCCCGGCGGCUGACUCGCCGCAGCGAUCCCCAGCUGCUAACUCGUCUGGACGAUCCCCAAUGGCUGAGCAGCCUCGGGGAUCACCGACGGCUGAGCAGCCUCGGCAAUCUUCGGCGACCCGAAAAAGACGGUCUCGCUCGAGCUCGAGUUCGAGUUGAAGCUCGAGCUCUAGUUCGAGUUCGAGUUGAAGCUCGAGCUCUAGUUCGAGUUCGAGUUGAAGCUCGAGCUCUAGUUCGAGUUCGAGUUGAAGCUCGAGCUCUAGUUCGAGCUCCAGUUCAAGCGGAACAUCAUCCAGUUGCACAUCGUGCAAAUCCGUUAAAAGUAUACGCGAUCUCAAGCGGAUUCCUAAAAUUACAUCCUCGAAUAUGAAGAGAAAAGCAAAUGAACAAGAAGGCAACGAGCAGAAGAAGAAGAAGGCAGGAGAGAGAGAGAGAGAGACGUCACCAAAACCAGGAACAUCUACAAUGACAUCAGAGGUUACGAGACCAGUAACGAGACGUGGCAUUUUACAAUUGAAAAGGACAGACAGUCAACAGCAGCAGCAACAGCAGCAGCAAUAGCUGCAAUAUCAACAACAGCAGCAACAGCAGCAACAGCAGUAACAGCAGCAGCAACAGCAACAGCAGCAACAACAGCAACAGCGACCACAGCAACAACAACGCAAUUUACCAAGGAUUAUAGAUGAUGAGAUAAUAAUAGAUCAUGUAAACGUAAAUAAAAUUUACAAAACUUAUAAAAAAAAAUAAAUUUAAAGAACUGUGAACACCUCACCAUUAAUUAAAACUUUGAAUUCCGGAAAAUUCCCGCCAGCGCUGACCGUUGGUUAACUGAAGCUGAUGCGCAUGCGCGUCCGGUUAACCUACGACGGACACUGGCGGGAGUUUUCCCAAAUUCAGUUUUAUUUAACGAUAGGUGUACAAAAUUUUAAUUUUUCUAAAAAAAACAA
rnacentral:lncRNA from 1 species